UUUCGACCUGAGGUCAGGCAAGAACACCCGCUGAACUAAGCAUAUCAAUAAGCGGAGUAGCGGAAAC
rnacentral:rRNA from 1 species